rnacentral:rRNA from 1 species
GCAGUAGCCGCGGUAAUACGAGGGGUGCAAGCGUUAUUCGGAUUGAUUGGGUGUAAAGGGUGUGCAGCCGGCUUAUUAAGUCACUUGUUAAAUUCUUCGGCCUAACUGAAGGUCUGCAAGUGAUACUGAUGAGCUAGAGGGUGGAAGAGAGAAGUGGAAUUCUCGGAGUAGCGGUAAAAUGCGUAGAUCUCGAGAGGAACACCAAUGGCGAAGGCAGCUUCUUGGUCCAUUCCUGACGUUCAUACACGAAAGCGUGGGGAGCAAACAGGAUUAGAUACCCCCGUAGUCCCUGUCUCUUAUAC